AUUUGACCUCAAAUCAGGUAGGAGUACCCGCUGAACUUAAGCAUAUCAAUAAGCGGAGGAAAAGAAAAUAACAAUGAUUCCCCUAGUAACUGCGAGUGAAGAGGGACAAGCUCAAAUUUUAAAUCUGUUAGGUUUACCUAACCGAGUUGUAAUUUGAAGAGGCGUUUUCUGUGUUUUUGAUCAGCCCAAGUCCUUUGGGAUAGGGCAUCAUGGAGGGUGAGAAUCCCGUUCGGUUGAUCAGAUUCGCUUUACGAUACGUCAUCUAAGAGUCAAGUUGUUUGGGAUUGCAGCUUAAAAUGGGAGGUAAAUUUCUCCUAAGGCUAAAUAACGGCGAGAGACCGAUAGCGAACAAGUACCGUGAGGGAAAGAUGAAAAGAACUUUGAAAAGAGAGUCAAAUAGUACGUGAAAUUGUUGAAAGGGAAACGAUUGAAGUCAGUCGUACCUGCGGGAUAAUCAGCCUUUCGAGUAUGAUUCUGUGGAGUGUAAGGAGUUUAACCGUCUUCAUACCUGCAUAUUCGUGCGCUUUGGGUGUACUUGUCCGUAUGGUAGGUUAACAUCAAUUUUGGUCGUUAUAAAAUGACUAGGGGAAUGUAGCUUUGAUCCCGUAUUGAAGUGUUAUAGUCUCUGGUAAAUGCAGUGACUAGGAUUGAGGAUUGCAACGGAUACCUUUCGGGGCUACUCGUCUGAUCUCUGGAAGUUACUUUGGUGCUAAAAGCUUGCUUAUGGUUAUCGAAGUUGACGGUCAAUAGGUUAGAACGAGUUAAAUUCGUUAAGGAUGUUGACGUAAUGGCUUUAAACGACCCGUCUUGAAACACGGACCAAGGAGUCUAACAUAUAUGCGAGUGUA
rnacentral:rRNA from 1 species